GCAACUGAAGUUGACCACAGAGGAAACUGAAAAGCAUGUAAAACACUGUAGUGAUCAGUGCUUAUGUUAUUCUAAGUUCUCUGCGGGGCGGUAUCUUCGGACAAUAUGAUUUUAUUUCCAUCUCUCUCUCUGCUCGUGUCGCGUCUGUUGAUUCUGGCCCGUUUCUCACAGGAAAACAUUCGGAGCCCAACUUAACAGGACCUGGUGUCCGUCUCUCAGGCCAUGCUAAUUGUAGUGCUGUGGCGGAACACGGCUAUUUUCAGAUUCUGAGGAGGUGGGCAGUUGGAAAGGACGCUUCUGGCCCAAACCCUCGAGACAGAUCUCUUCCCUACAAUCUGGGCAAAGGAAUGCAGUCUGGAGUCUCAGUGCCAUUCAUUGGCAUUUCCACUAAUAACACCUGCCCGAGAAUGAGAGGAAUGAGGCUGGUGCUGUGACAUGUACACACACCCUCGAUUCUGAAAAAGACCAUCUCUGAGCUAAAAUAGCAGCAUGAAGUUGUAGUUUGAACUUUACACUCCAGGCUUCUGGAGUAGUUGGAAAUCGCUGUGGUUAAAAUCGACUGGGUGUGACUGACAAUUUCAAAAUUCCAGCGUAUCUAGCAAGUUAUGAAAGGUGCGAGACAUUCCUUGUCAUUCAGCAGAUCCUAGUCAUGCUAAUCCACUAAUCCAAUCCUCGCUCCACAAAACAAAAGAACACGUGCUUAGCAUUUUCACCGAGAUUUUAUUAAAAAAGUCUUUAAUACACCCUACUGUAUGACUGACAGAAGUUAGAAACAAUAAUAUUUGGUAUUAAAUGUCCAAAAAACAGAACAAGAAUCAGUGAUAUCAAAAAUUUGUACACAAAUUAAGACAUUUCACGACACAGAAACAAACAUUUCACAAUAAUGCAGCAUUUAGCUGGUAACAUGUCUCUAUCUGUGCUGCUUUCUUUGGCUUUAGGCAACACAUUCUAAUGACGUUUAAGAAAACACCCUUAUGAGUGUAGAUGACCGUUCAACAGUGAGAAGGACACAAUGUGCAAAAUCUACUUAAAAAUACAAUAUACUUCACAAAUGUACAUACAACAUUAGAACAUAAUCAAGGCUACAAGUACGGCAACAACAUUUAAGAAGUUUGUCAGGUUUUCGGACACUGAAAACAGUUUAUUGAAGGUUUGGCACAAAACCAUUGAGAAGGAAUCCACAGCUUUAGUAGUUUAACCACCUUAUCAACUAAGCGAAUGCCAUUCACAUUGUAAACUACACGUUAUCCUACAAUUGAGUGACAAAUUUUGUCCAAAGAAAAUGAAGCCUAUUUUGCAUUGUGACAUUUUCAUGACAAUUAAGAAAAUUUUUCAUCAUUACCGUAAUUUGUCCAGGCUUUAAAUCUGCAUACACACAAAUACAGUUUGAAUAAUCUAGUUUUUUUCUAUUGUGAUAACCACUUUUUUGCACUACAGUAAUGAGAAUUUAGGAGGAAAAUCUACUUUAAUUGCCUUUAAAAAUGCAAACAAUCUAAAAACAUUCUUCAUGGAAAAUAUAGUUUCUUAUGUUUUUGUGUUGUGAAUUUUUCAUGGAGAACAUUUUUCUUCAUCACCAUAUUUUUGUAUUUAAAUCCACAAUGUAAUUACAACUGAAAUAAUAUAUUCUUUUUUUUUUUUCAUUAUGGCAAUGAUGUUUUUGCAUUACGGUAAUGAGAAUUUAGGGGGAAAAUGUGUUUUAAUCACUCUGAAAAUAAUGUCACAAUGCAAACAAUUUUCUUUAUGCAAAAUCUAAUUUCUUAUUUGUUUCUUCUUUUUUGACAUUUUGACAUUAUUUUCAUGACAACCGAGGACAUUUCCACAUUACUGUGGGAUUUUUAUUUUUUAAAUUUAAAAUCAAAAUCUGGAUAUGCGUACAUACUUAACACUUAACCAUUUUUUAAAAUGACAUUCUUGUUCUUUUCCACAAUGGUAUUGACAUUUUUGCAUUACAGUUAUGAGAAUCUGCUUUAAGUGCUUUGAAAAUAAUAUCACAAUGCAAACAGUCUAAAAACAGGCUUCAUUUCUUAGCAUUUGAAGGUGAAAUACCACCCAAACUUGUUUAUUAGCCCAGCCUGGCUACUUGUCUAGUACUUUUAUAUCAAGAAUACAGUGCUAAUCAGAGAAGUGUUUUGAAUAUUCUUGCGUAAUAAUAUCAAAAAACAUUCUAUAUAAAAAGGCAACACAGCCUAACUAGUUCUUUUACAAUUUUGGGUUCAUUUCCUGUUUAAAAGGUCAUCCAAGUCUACUAAGAACACAAUGAGCCCAGUUUCAUGCGCUAAAGUGAGUAACCAGAGGCAAGAGUUAAUUAUUACUUAAUUUAUGACCGAGCAGGAUACGUGUGGGUGAGCGAGACGCUGAAGUGUGGAACCUCAGGCUAAAAAUAACCUGUUUUAAAGAGUUGAGUCUAGUGCGUUUAUGUACACAUGCGUUCACAAUGCUUUCUGCAUCUCUUCAGGGUCGCGUCUCGCCGUAAGGACCGCGGUGAGCUGGGACGGGAUCCGUUUGCCAUGGUUACACACCCGACUGACCUAGGGCUUGGUUUCCAGCCCGAGGUCCAUGUGAAUGUGAAAGAGGAAAAGCGUCUGUCUCCCCUCCCCCGGCAUUCCCAGGCCUCGUGGGGGGGGACUCGGCUGCAUUCCAGAGAACGCCGGAAGAUCUGAGGAUGGAAAAACAGGGAAUGAGUUACACGAUGAACUUCACAUGGUUCACCUACAAUCCUUCACAUGAGUUUGAGAAACUGGGCGCAUCACAAAACGAAUGGUCUCGCUUCCAGGACAAAGGAGUGAAAAAAAUUUCCAUUAACUUUAUGCAGAUCCAGGCGUGCCGCAAGGGCUCAGCAGGUCGCGGUGACUUUAUGCACAUGUUGGGCAUGAAAGGCCGGACGCAGAUGCCAAA